rnacentral:rRNA from 1 species
GACGAACCGAGCAAACGUUAUUCGGAAUCACUGGGCUUAAAGGGCGCGUAGGCGGGCAUCCAAGUCUGUGGUGAAAUCCGGCAGCUUAACUGUCGAACUGCCGUGGAUACUGGGUGUCUCGAGGGAGGUAGGGGCGUGCGAAACUAUUGGUGGAGCGGUGAAAUGCGUUGAUAUCAAUAGGAACUCCGGUGGCGAAGGCGGCACGCUGGACCUCUUCUGACGCUGAGGCGCGAAAGCCAGGGGAGCAAACGGG